GUACGCUGGACGGGCCGGCGUGACGUCACUUCCGGGGGAACCGGGAGGAUGGUACCGGAAACCGGGAGACGCGAUUGGAGGCGGCGGGUGGGACCGAUCUUAAAUAGUAAAAACCACAAGAACAUCCGUGAAACACAAGAUCUGGAGAACCUUUUAUCCUCUAGAACAAGAACGAAUAACAAAGGUGUCCUGGGUUUGACAACUACAUUCCCCACAAGCCACGGCGGUGAAAACUCAGAGGAUAAAGGAGUUUUAAGGAGGAUGUCUUCUCAUGACUGCACAUGCGUAAACUACGGAUAAAGGACUACAUUUCCCAUAACACCAUCGGUAUGGACGCAUUCACGAACUACUAAGGAGGAACUACAUUUCCCAAAAUACCUUGCGCCGGACCAGUGCGGGAAAGCAUUUCCGGUUCCGGCUUAUGAUUUGAAAUGUAAGGGGCAAGAACGUUACAUAUAGAUAGGGACCCAAAUAGGAUUCCUAUAGAAUUCAUCUGGCUCAUUUAUUUGCUGUGAUAAAAUCGUCAGAAUAUUGAAAAGAACGUGCACAUAACAUGACAUACUGGGCAUAAGGACGCAUGCGCGAACUACCAGGGAGGAACUACAUUUCCCAACAUACCCUGCGCCGGACAAACGCGGAAGAGCAUACCCGGUUUUGUUUUAUGAUUCUUAAUGGAAUGGACAAUAAUAUUACAUAUAGAUAGGAAUAAAACAUACAGUGUUAUUCCUACAGCAUUCAUUUAGUGAAUUUGAUGCUAUGAUGAAACAUUUAGGAUAGAAAAUGGAGAGUGUACAAUCCCAUUUGAACUACAUUGCCCAGAAUUCAUUGUGGUAAUGGAAACGAGUAUAUUAACAAAGUGUGUUUUAAACCAAAUAUAUAGCAUCAUUUCAAGAAGGACUGGCAAUAUCGGAACACCAAUACUGGACUUAGAUAAUUGAUGAUAAUGAAUUAUGCUGCAUUUAUCGAAUUUUUUAAUUGUUUAUGUAUUUGUGGCAGGGAAUGACAUCACUUCCUACACAUCAAUUUCCUGUUAGAACAUCAUUGGCUACUGGUACCAUAAAUAUCUGGCUUCCCACACAGCAGGUCAUGUCUUGACAAAGGUCGAAGGACUGAAACGCGUCAACAGACUGCUGUGUGAGUAGCCAUUUUCAAUAGUGAUAUACCAC